rnacentral:rRNA from 1 species
UACAGAGGUCCCAAGCGUUGUUCGGAUUCACUGGGCGUAAAGCGUGCGCAGGCGGCUUCGCAAGUCAGGCGUGAAAUCCCCGGGCUUAACCUGGGAAUGGCGUCUGAAACUACGGAGCUGGAGUGUGGCAGAGGGAGGGUAGAAUUCCACGUGUAGCGGUGAAAUGCGUAGAUAUCGGAAGGAACACCUGUGGCGAAAGCGGCUCACUGGACCACAACUGACGCUGAUGCACGAAAGCUAGGGGAGCAAACAGG